AACGAACGCUGGCGGCAGGCUUAACACAUGCAAGUCGAGCGCCCCGCAAGGGGAGCGGCAGACGGGUGAGUAACGCGUGGGAAUCUACCCUGAUCUGCGGAAUAGCUCCGGGAAACUGGAACUAAUACCGCAUAUGCCCUGAGGGGCAAAGGUUGAUCCGGAUUGGGAUGAGCCCGCGUUGGAUUAGCUAGUUGGUGGGGUAAAGGCCUACCAAGGCGACGAUCCAUAGCUGGUCUAAGAGGAUGAUCAGCCACAUUGGGACUGAGACACGGCCCAAACUCCUACGGGAGGCAGCAGUGGGGAAUAUUGGACAAUGGGCGCAAGCCUGAUCCAGCCAUGCCGCGUGAGUGAUGAAGGCCCUAGGGUUGUAAAGCUCUUUCACCGGGGACGAUAAUGACGGUACCCGGAGAAGAAGCCCCGGCUAACCUCGUGCCAGCCGCCGCCGUAA
rnacentral:rRNA from 1 species